rnacentral:rRNA from 1 species
CCGCCGAUUGGACAAUUUAAACCAUUUGCAGUUGCAAUCAGCGUCUGAAAAAACAUAAUAGUUACAACUUUCAACAACGGAUCUCUUGGUUCUGGCAUCGAUGAAGAACGCAGCGAAAUGCGAUAAGUAGUGUGAAUUGCAGAAUUCAGUGAAUCAUCGAAUCUUUGAACGCACAUUGCGCCCCUUGGUAUUCCAUGGGGCAUGCCUGUUCGAGCGUCAUUUGUACCUUCAAGCUCUGCUUGGUGUUGGGUGUUUGUCUCGCCUCUGCGCGUAGACUCGCCUCAAAACAAUUGGCAGCCGGCGUAUUGAUUUCGGAGCGCAGUACAUCUCGCGCUUUGCAUUCAGAACGACGACGUCCAAAAGUACAUUUUUACACUCUUGACCUCGGAUCAGGUAGGGAUACCCGCU